AGACGUUUGACCUGGCGUCAGAAUUGAACGCUGGCGGCAUGCUUACACAUGCAAGGUCGAACGGCGAGCGCGGGGCGAACCUGCGGCGAGGUGGCGAACGGGUGAGUAAUACAAUCGGAACGUACCCGAGAAGUGGGGGAGUAACGUAGCGAAAGUUACGCUAAUACCGCAUACGUUCUACGGAAGAAAGUGGGGGACCUUCGGGCCUCAUGCUUUUGGAGCGGCCGAUGUCUGAUUAGCUAGUUGGUGAGGUAAAGGCUCACCAAGGCGACGAUCAGUAGCUGGUCUGAGAGGACGACCAGCCACACUGGGACCGAGACACGGCCCAGACUCCUACGGGAGGCAGCAGUGGGGAAUUUUGGACAAUGGGCGCAAGCCUGAUCCAGCAAUGCCGCGUGAGUGAAGAAGGCCUUCGGGUUGUAAAGCUCUUUUGUCAGGGAAGAAACGGUUGAGGCUAAUAUCCUCGGUUAAUGACGGUACCUGAAGAAUAAGCACCGACUAACUACGUG
rnacentral:rRNA from 1 species